rnacentral:rRNA from 1 species
UACAGAGGUCUCAAGCGUUGUUCGGAUUCAUUGGGCGUAAAGGGUGCGUAGGCGGCGCGGUAAGUCGGGUGUGAAAUCUCGGAGCUUAACUCCGAAACUGCAUUCGAUACUGCCGUGCUUGAGGACUGGAGAGGAGACUGGAAUUCCUGGUGUAGCAGUGAAAUGCGUAGAUAUCAGGAGGAAUACCGAUGGCGAAGGCAGGUCUCUGGGCUGACACUGACGCUCAUGCACGAAAGCGUGGGGAGCAAACAGG